AAGGCUCAGUAAUGUUGCGCUGAUUUGCUCUAUGCGGGAAGAAUAACCACGGUAACCUGUGGCUAAGAGUGUAGAAUAAGGUGCAAUCCUAUUAGUUUGUUGGUAGUGUAAAGGACUACCAAGGCAGUGAUGGGUAACGGGAAAUCAGGGUUUGAUUCCGGAGAGGGAGCCUGAGAGAUGGCUCCCACGUCCAAGGAUGGCAGCAGGCGCGAAAAUUGUCCACUCUUUUGAGAGGAGACAGUUAUGAAACGUGAGUAGAAGGGUCGAGUGUAAAAACCUUGACGUGAAGCAAUUGGAGGGCAAGUUUUGGUGCCAGCAGCCGCGGUAAUUCCAACUCCAAGAGUGUCUAUGGUGGAUGCUGCAGUUAAAGGGUCCGUAGUCGUAGAUGCAAUUAAAAGGUGGUGUUAAAAGCCAUUGAGUUUGUUGAGAGUAGCGGAACGGAUAGGGAGCAUGGUAUAGGUGGGCAAAGAAUGAAAUCUCAAGACCCCACCUGGACCAACGGAGGCGAAAGCGAUGCUCUUAGACGUAUCUGGGGAUCAAGGACGAAGGCUAGAGUAUCGAAAGUGAUUAGACACCGCUGUAGUUCUAGCAGUAAACUAUGCCGACAAUGCUGGGUGUUGCGAGAGCGAUGCUUGGUGUGGGAGAAAUCUUAGUUUUCGGGCUCUGGGGAUAGUACGCUCGCAAGGGUGAAACUUAAAGUGAAAUUGACGGAAGGACACUACCAGGAGUGGAUUGUGCUGCUUAAUUUAACUCAACGCGGGAAAACUUACCAGGGUCAAGUCUAUCGUAGAUUGGAGACAUGAGGUAGACAAGAGUGGUGCAUGGCCGUUGGAAAUUGAUGGGGCGACUUUUAGCUUAAGUGCUGGAACCAGUGAGAUCUUCUAGACAGGUGUUAUUUAGGCACAGGAGGGAGAAGGCAAUAACAGGUCCGUGAUGCCCUUAGAUAUCCUGGGCAGCAAGCGCAAUACAAUAUCUCUUGAGAAGACAAAGCAAUUUG
rnacentral:rRNA from 1 species